UAAUGGUGUGCAUAAAUGUCCUGUUUGCUGCUUUCCAGAGCAUCGACAAUACCGAAAAGAGAGGCAAACACCUGGUUCUUAUUAGACCUUGCUCCAAAGUCACUGUCUAGUGUCUUCAUCAACUGUGAUGACAAAGCAUGGGCACAUGAGCGAAUUUGAAAUCACUGAUGAUCACAGAGCUGGGAAAAUUAUUGGGAACCUCACAGUGUGAACAAGUUGUUGUGAGCAAGUGUGAUCAGCCCCAGAUUUGAUGUCCAACUCAAAGAUCUAGAAAAAUCUAGAAAAAUCACAGACUAAUCUGCUCCCAUCCCACCAGUUUGGUUUCAUUGUACUGACUCAGCUCACAUCAUGGACCAUGAAGAAGCAACACAAAAACACACAGGAGAGAAAAUCCUGGGGUUCUUC
rnacentral:lncRNA from 1 species